UGGGGAAUUUUGGACAAUGGGCGAAAGCCUGAUCCAGCAAUGCCGCGUGUGUGAAGAAGGCCUUCGGGUUGUAAAGCACUUUUGUCCGGAAAGAAAUCCUUGGCUCUAAUACAGUCGGGGGAUGACGGUACCGGAAGAAUAAGCACCGGCUAACUACGUGCCGGCAGCCGCGGUAAUACGUAGGGUGCAAGCGUUAAUCGGAAUUACUGGGCGUAAAGCGUGCGCAGGCGGUUUGCUAAGACCGAUGUGAAAUCCCCGGGCUCAACCUGGGAACUGCAUUGGUGACUGGCAGGCUAGAGUAUGGCAGAGGGGGGUAGAAUUCCACGUGUAGCAGUGAAAUGCGUAGAGAUGUGGAGGAAUACCGAUGGCGAAGGCAGCCCCCUGGGCCAAUACUGACGCUCAUGCACGAAAGCGUGGGGAGCAAACAGGAUUAGAUACCCUGGUAGUCCACGCCCUAAACGAUGUCAACUAGUUGUUGGGGACUUCAUUUCCUUAGUAACGUAGCUAACGCGUGAAGUUGACCGCCUGGGGAGUACGGUCGCAAGAUUAAAACUCAAAGGAAUUGACGGGG
rnacentral:rRNA from 1 species